GUGUGCUAAACUCUACAUAUGUAUUAACUCACUCCAGUCCUCACAGAAUCUGUAUGGAAUAUUAUUAGGAUCUCCACCUUACCAAUAAGGAAACUGAGGCACAGAGAGAUUAAGUAGAUUCUCAGUUCAUGAGCAUCAGAGCUGGUAUUUGAACCCUGAUAGUCUGGCUUAAAGUCUGUACCACAGCUGCCUAUAAGUGAUCCUUAUUGCAGGGUUGUGGUGAGGAGUGCAUGAAAUCCACACAAAGCUCCUAGUGCAGAACCUAGCACUAAGUGCUCAAAAAAUGUUAGAAGAAAUUUGAAUGUUAAAAAAAAAAAAAGAUAUUUGAACUUGAGAGGAGAAUCUUGCCCCUAUGUAGGAUUCGUUUGUUUACGGGGAAACAAGAGGUUAUCCCAGCCAACCUCAAACCAGUCAGUAUGAGAAGCCUAGCCUGUGAGUUCUGGCGUGGACUGGUGUACCAGGGUCUCCCAGAUUCCAUUCUUAGCAGGUUGAUGGGGCAAUGCUGAAAAAAAAAAAUGAAUCCCACAAAUUUGGCACACAUCUGCCUCCUGGAUUAAUGUUUUCCCAAACUGUAAACAAGCGGUAGAAGGGACUUCUGGUUUCACCCAUGAUCUUGGCUCCUUUGAUCCAAACCUUUGAGGGAUCUGGCAAGGGACAGAAAGAGCUACCAGAAGAUACAGAGAGAAGGAAGAAGGCAGUAAUGGUUUGUAUCAUGUAAUAGUAGCUUGAAUUUAUAUAGUGUUUUGCAAUUUAUAAACUUCUUUAACAUACAUAAUCUAAUUUCAUAAAAUCCCAGACUCUGA